GAAGAACAAUGAAAAUGAAGAAAACAACAAGACAAGCUUUUCUUCUCCUAUGUUUGCUUCAUAUAUUUCUAUGUCUCUCUUUUCAUGUUCGUGUCCACCAAGGUAAACCUGAGAUAUGCGUAAGACCCUCCCCACCAUGUGGAGAUUCUCCAAAGGGAGGAGGUGAAGAUACGCCGGGACAUAACUAUAAAAAGCCUUGCAAACCCAUUCCAAGACCACCUCCUCCUCGAGAUUGCUAGCAGCUUUGAAUUUUCAACACAAGUCCUUAAUGUUUUUUUAGUAACAAUAUCAUCGAGACUAAUUUAUUUGCACGAUGUGCAAUAAUAUCGUUUAAUUAUACCUUUUUUCUUUCUUUCUUUCGAAAUUUAUGUGUAAUUUGUGGUAAAAAUAAUAAUUUGUGCACCCGUAUGUUUGAUUUAAAUAACCAAAACCAUUU